rnacentral:rRNA from 1 species
UACGUAGGGAGCUAGCGUUGUCCGGAAUCAUUGGGCGUAAAGCGCGCGUAGGCGGCCCGGUAAGUCCGCUGUGAAAGUCAAAGGCUCAACCUUUGAAUGUCAGCGGAUACUGCCGGGCUAGAGUCCGGAAGAGGCAAGUGGAACUCCUGGUGUAGCGGUGGAAUGCGCAGAUAUCAGGAAGAACACCAACGGCGAAGGCAGCUCGCUGGGACGGAACUGACGCUAAGGCGCGAAAGCGUGGGGAGCGAACAGG